GCAAACUUGGUCAUUUAGAGGAAGUAAAAGUCGUAACAAGGUUUCUGUAGGUGAACCUGCAGAAGGAUCAUUAGUGAAGAUUCAAGGGCCAGCCAUACAGACGUACAAUAAGUGUGUCUCUGGCGGCUCGCAUCCACUAUACAUCCAUAAACCCGUGUGCACUGUUCUAAGGAGUAAGAAAGAAGAAGAAGGGGGAGGGAGAGAGAGUGCAUGUGCUUUGCAUAUAACUCUCUCACUCUCCACUCUCUUUCUCUCUCUCUCCGGUUAAUUACAAACUCGUAUGGAUUUGUAUGAACGUGAGAUAUAUCGUUGGACCGUCACUGGCCAACAAAUAUAACACAACUUUCGACAACGGAUCUCUUGGUUCUCCCAUCGAUGAAGAACGCAGC
rnacentral:misc_RNA from 1 species